rnacentral:rRNA from 1 species
UCGGGAAUUUUGGGCAAUGGGCGAAAGCCUGACCCAGCAACGCCGCGUGAAGGAUGAAGUAUUUCGGUAUGUAAACUUCGAAAGAAUAGGAAGAAUAAAUGACGGUACUAUUUAUAAGGUCCGGCUAACUACGUGCCAGCAGCCGCGGUAAUACGUAGGGACCAAGCGUUGUUCGGAUUUACUGGGCGUAAAGGGCGCGUAGGCGGCAAUUCAAGUCAUCUGUGAAAUCUCCGGGCUUAACUCGGAACGGUCAGAUGAUACUGCUUUGCUAGAGUGCAGAAGGGGCAAUCGGAAUUCUUGGUGUAGCGGUGAAAUGCGUAGAUAUCAAGAGGAACACCUGAGGUGAAGACGGGUUGCUGGGCUGACACUGACGCUGAGGCGCGAAAGCUAGGGUAGCAAACGGGAUUAGAUACCCCCGUAGUCCCUGAGCGGGCUGGCAAGGCGCAU